CCGACCUUAGCUCAGUUGGUAGAGCGGAGGACUGUAGUUGGAAAUCUCCACAUGGCCAUCCUUAGGUCGCUGGUUCGAAUCCGGCAGGUCGGA